CUCACUUGCCAAACAGACUUGUUUAUUAGACGGUCUCACUUCGAUCCCCCCUUCUCUUUACGGUUAGGAGACCGAGUACAGUGCUCUAGACACAGUGAGGGCUCAAUAAACACCACGGAUUGAUUGAGGGAGUUUUAAAGGCAAGGAACAGGGAUUAAAGGGAUAUUCUUUUAGGAGCCUGGAGGAAAUUCACGCGGUUCUCGUUCUCUCCUGCCAGCCGUCCAUUUCGGAAGGAUUUUUCUCCCCAGAAUGGCCAGCCACUUCUCAAGCAUCGUUCUUGCCGUCCCCGCCACAUUUUGUAGGAGCAGGAAUUGGGCACUUGUUGAGCAAGUGAACGUUGGAUCCAGACAGUGAGAAUCCAGACUUUCCCUGGCCGUGCUCAUGGGUCACCCCAGUAUAUACCUUCUGCUCCUGACAGCCUGUCACCUGUGGAUACACUCCAUCUUUCUGCUUCCAGGGAGUUGAAACAAUGCCAUGGGCUGGAUAAGGUAAGUGUUGGGUUUUUCCAUGUUUGUUUUUGGCUCUUUGCUCAACUUUGUAACUUGAAAUAAAAGCUAAAUCCAUUAUCCUAAAAUCCCGUUCUAACAUGCGUAUGGAGAAGAGGAAUAACACCACAAUAGAAGACUAGCCCAAACAGUAAAUCAAGAGAAUUUAUCAUGAAUGCUUAUUUUCAAGUGGGUGCAGGCCACUCUAAUAAGCACUUGAGUGACUAAUUGAAAUUCUAUUCUAAAAUAGAAUUAGUAGACCCUAUCCCUGCUCUCAAGGAGCAUACAAUCUAAAUGGGGAGGC
rnacentral:lncRNA from 1 species